rnacentral:ncRNA from 1 species
CAAAAGCUUGGUCCUAACUUCGCUGUUGGGUUUAGUCAAAAUUACACAUGCAAGUCUCAGCACCCCUGUGAAAAUACCCUUAAACUCUUUUCUGAGAACAAGGAGAUGGUAUCAGGCACAACCCUACUUAGCCCAAUACACCAUGUUAAGCCACACCCCUAAGGGAAUUCAGCAGUGAUAAACAUUAAGCCAUAAGUGAAAACUUGACUUAGUUACGACUAAUAGAGCCGGCUAAACUCGUGCCAGCCGCCGCGGUUAUACGAGAGGCUCAAAUUAACAGCCACCGGCGUAAAGCGUGAUUAAGGAACAACUAAACUAAAGUGGAAUGCUUCCAUGAUUGUUAUACGUUCCCGGAAGCAAGAACAGCCUUUACGAAAGUAACUUUAACUUACCUGAUUACACGAAAGCUAUGGCACAAACUGGGAUUAGAUACCCCACUAUGCACAGCCUUAAACUUUGUUAGACUACUACAACAUCUAACCGCCAAGGGACUACAAGCAUGAGCUUAAAACCUAAAGGACUUGGCGGUGCUUUAGACCCACCUAGAGGAGCCUGUUCUAUAACCGAUAACCCCCGUUAAACCUCACCUUCUCUUGUCACUCCCGCCUAUAUACCGCCGUCGUCAGCUUACCCUGUGAAGGAUAAUUAGUAAGCAACAUUGAUACUGUCCAAAACGCCAGGUCGAGGUGUAGCGUAUGAGAAGGAAAGAAAUGGGCUACAUUUUCUAUUUCAGAAAAAACGGAAAUUGCUAUGAAACAGCACAUUAAAGGAGGAUUUAGCAGUAAGCAGAGAAUAGAGAGCUCAGCUGAAACUGGCCCUGAAGCACGCACACACCGCCCGUCACUCUCCCUAGACCACACCAGUUUAUUCAUAAUAACCUCAAUUUAAUAAAAGGGAGGCAAGUCGUAACAUGGUAAGUAUACCGGAAGGUGUACUUGGCUAAAC